AUUAGCUCAGUUGGUAGAGCACCUGACUUUUAAUCAGGGUGUCGAAGGUUCGAGCCCUUCAU
rnacentral:tRNA from 1 species